rnacentral:rRNA from 1 species
AACGAACGCUGGCGGCAUGCCUAACACACGCAAGUCGAACGAGAUCUUCGGGUCUAGUGGCGCACGGGUGCGUAACGCGUGGGAAUCUGCCCUUUGGUUCGGAAUAACAGUCGGAAACGACUGCUAAUACCGGAUGAUGACGAAAGUCCAGAGAUUUAUCGCCAGAGGAUGAGCCCGCGUAGGAUUAGCUAGUUGGUGUGGUAAAGGCGCACCAAGGCGACGAUCCUUAGCUGGUCUGAGAGGAUGAUCAGCCACACUGGGACUGAGACACGGCCCAGACUCCUACGGGAGGCAGCAGUGGGGAAUAUUGGACAAUGGGCGAAAGCCUGAUCCAGCAAUGCCGCGUGAGUGAUGAAGGCCUUAGGGUUGUAAAGCUCUUUUACCCGGGAUGAUAAUGACAGUGCCGGGAGAAUAAGCUCCGGCUAACUCCGUGCCAGCCGCCGCCGUAA